UACGGAGGGGCUAGCGUUGUUCGGAAUUACUGGGCGUAAAGCGCACGUAGGCGGCUUUGCAAGUCAGAGGUGAAAGCCCGGGGGCUCAACCCCGGAAUUGCCUUUGAGACUGCAUCGCUAGAAUUGUGGAGAGGUAAGUGGAAUUCCGAGUGUAGAGGUGAAAUUCGUAGAUAUUCGGAAGAACACCAGUGGCGAAGGCGACUUACUGGACACAUAUUGACGCUGAGGUGCGAAAGCGUGGGGAGCAAACAGG
rnacentral:rRNA from 1 species